rnacentral:misc_RNA from 1 species
GAUGAAGAACGCAUCGAAAUGCGAUAAGUAAUGUGAAUUGCAGAAUUCAGUGAAUCAUCGAAUCUUUGAACGCACCUUGCGCCCUUUGGCCAUUCCGAAGGGCAUGCCUGUUUGAGUAUCAUGAACACCUCAACUCUUUAUGGUUUUCCAUGAUGAGCUUGGACUCUGGGGGUUUUGCUGGCUCACAGUCGGCUCCUCUAAAAUGAAUCAGCUUACCAGUGUUUGGUGGGUAUCAUGGGUGUGAUAACUAUCUACGCUUGUGGUUUUUCCACCAGGUAACCUUCAGCAGUGGAGGUUCGCUGGAGCUCAUAGAUGUCUCUCCUCAGUGAGGACAGCCCUUUGAAUGUUUGAUCUCAAAUCAGGUAGGACUACCCGCUGAACUUAAGCAUAUCAAUAAGCGGAGGA